GAUGCUACACCUUCAGAUUACAUUUCCAUGAUAAUCACAGAUUAUGGCAUGGUACCUCCCACAAGUGUUCCUGUCAUCGUGAGAGAAUAUCAGAAAGAAUACUUGCUUGUCUAAGCAACAAAGCUCAUUUUUGCGAAAGCUCUUCUUCUCCAACCCUUUCCUCUAGCUCAGGCUCUUCUCGUCACAACCCCGCAUAGAAUAACUACCGGCACUGCUUCCCUCAUCCGCUUCUUUUCCUGAGUAUCAGAUUCAUUUUUUUUGGCCUUGACAUGUUUUUCGAAACUUUUUUGACUCUGUGAAGAGUGCGAUUCCAUCAUCCGCCUCUUCGGGAAAAUUUUAUUGGUAUCGGUGAUGUUUUUCUUUUGUCUGUGAUGUAUGAGUGAGGCUUCUUAUUCUCCAUCUUCUCAUGGAGGUUGAUACAAAUCUUUCUCAGAUUCUAUGCCAAUUGUUUUUUUGUUU